rnacentral:rRNA from 1 species
ACACACGGCCAUAUCACGUUGAAAGUACAGGUUCUCGUCCAAUCACUGAAGUUAAGCAACAUCAAGCCUAGUUAGUGCUUAGAUGGGUGAUCACUUGAGAAACCUAGGUACUGUAAACA